UACGGAGGAUGCGAGCGUUAUCCGGAUUUAUUGGGUUUAAAGGGAGCGUAGACGGGGGAGUAAGUCAGUUGUGAAAGGCUGCGGCUCAACCGCAGCACUGCAGUUGAUACUGGUUCCCUUGAGUGCGGUUGAGGUAUGUGGAAUUCGUGGUGUAGCGGUGAAAUGCUUAGAUAUCACGAAGAACUCCGAUUGCGAAGGCAGCAUACUAAGUCGCUACUGACGUUGAGGCGCGAAAGUGUGGGGAUCAAACAGG
rnacentral:rRNA from 1 species